rnacentral:rRNA from 1 species
GCCCAGACUCCUACGGGAGGCAGCAGUGGGGAAUAUUGGGCAAUGGAGGAAACUCUUACCCAGCAAUGCCGCGUGAAUGAAGAAGGUCUUCGGAUUGUAAAGUUCUUUAAUUGGGGACGAAAAAAAUGACGGUACCCAAGGAAUAAGCCCCGGCUAACUACGUGCCAGCAGCCGCGGUAAUACGUAGGGGGCAAGCGUUAUCCGGAUUUACUGGGUGUAAAGGGAGCGUAGGCGGCCAUGCAAGUCAGAAGUGAAAACCCGGGGCUCAACCCUGGGAGUGCUUUUGAAACUGUGCGGCUAGAGUGUCGGAGGGGUAAGUGGAAUUCCUAGUGUAGCGGUGAAAUGCGUAGAUAUUAGGAGGAACACCAGUGGCGAAGGCGGCUUACUGGACGAUGACUGACGCUGAGGCUCGAAAGCGUGGGGAGCAAACAGGAUUAGAUACCCCCGUA